UGAUUUAGCGGCGGACGGGUGAGUAACACGUGGGCAACCUGCCCUGCAGACUGGGAUAACUUCGGGAAACCGGAGCUAAUACCGGAUAAUCCAUUUUACUUCAUGGUGAAAUGUUGAAAGGCGCUUUCGCGCCACUGCAGGAUGGGCCCGCGGUGCAUUAGCUAGUUGGUGGGGUAACGGCCUACCAAGGCGACGAUGCAUAGCCGACCUGAGAGGGUGAUCGGCCACAUUGGGACUGAGACACGGCCCAAACUCCUACGGGAGGCAGCAGUAGGGAAUCUUCCACAAUGGACGAAAGUCUGAUGGAGCAACGCCGCGUGAGUGAUGAAGGUUUUCGGAUCGUAAAACUCUGUUGUAAGGG
rnacentral:rRNA from 1 species